rnacentral:misc_RNA from 1 species
CAGAGUUGCAAAACUCCCAACCCUUUGUGAACGUACUGAAAAGUUGCUUCGGCGGGAGGCUCCUCAGGGAGCGGACCGCCGGAGGAAUCCAAACUCUUGUUUUUUGGCAUCUCUGAGUAGCUUAUAAAUAAGUUA